AUGAACGCUGGCGGCGUGCUUAACACAUGCCAGUCGCACGAUGAAGCCCAGCUUGCUGGGUGGAUUAGUGGCGAACGGGUGAGUAACACGUGAGUAACCUGCCCUUGACUCUGGGAUAAGCCUGGGAAACUGGGUCUAAUACUGGAUAUGACUUCUCAUCGCAUGGUGGGGGGUGGAAAGAUUUAUUGGUCUUGGAUGGACUCGCGGCCUAUCAGCUUGUUGGUGAGGUAAUGGCUCACCAAGGCGACGACGGGUAGCCGGCCUGAGAGGGUGACCGGCCACACUGGGACUGAGACACGGCCCAGACUCCUACGGGAGGCAGCAGUGGGGAAUAUUGCACAAUGGGCGCAAGCCUGAUGCAGCGACGCCGCGUGAGGGAUGACGGCCUUCGGGUUGUAAACCUCUUUCAGUAGGGAAGAAGCGAGAGUGACGGUACCUGCAGAAGAAGCGCCGGCUAACUACGUG
rnacentral:rRNA from 1 species